UCACCGCACAUGGACCUCCAGGGCCUGGCUCUAGUGGGCACACAGAGGGCAGAGGAAAGAUGGAUGAAUGGAGCAGAAACUCAUCUUCGGGAUACACACAGAUGACCCCACUGCCUGUGGUCCCCAACUCACCCCUAGGAAGCCAUCUUUGCUCUUGGUCAUGGUCUCCGGGAGCAGAGGCUGGAAUCGGGCUUCUAUGGUCUUCUGGGACUGAGAGGAACUCAGUCAAGGGAACCGGAGUAAUGAAUGAAGCAAGAAACAGAAACAGGCUCUUUGGUGUCAUAGGGAGAGCACUGGUUUGAGGAGAUCUGGCAAGUCUAUAACCUUCCCAGUAUAGAA
rnacentral:lncRNA from 10 species